rnacentral:rRNA from 1 species
GACGAACGCUGGCGGCGUGCCUAAUACAUGCAAGUAGAACGCUGAAGGAGGAGCUUGCUCUUCUGGAUGAGUUGCGAACGGGUGAGUAACGCGUAGGUAACCUGCCUGGUAGCGGGGGAUAACUAUUGGAAACGAUAGCUAAUACCGCAUAACAGUAGAUGUUGCAUGACAUUUACUUAAAAGGUGCAAUUGCAUCACUACCAGAUGGACCUGCGUUGUAUUAGCUAGUUGGUGGGGUAACGGCUCACCAAGGCGACGAUACAUAGCCGACCUGAGAGGGUGAUCGGCCACACUGGGACUGAGACACGGCCCAGACUCCUACGGGAGGCAGCAGUAGGGAAUCUUCAGCAAUGGACGGAAGUCUGACCGAGCAACGCCGCGUGAGUGAAGAAGGUUUUCGGAUCGUAAAGCUCUGUUGUAAGAGAAGAACGAGUGUGAGAGUGGAAAGUUCACACUGUGACGGUAUCUUACCAGAAAGGGACGGCUAACUACGUG